GUUGGUUUUCCUGUUCGAAUUGUGUACGCUAAUAAUUUUGGGUCCUUUAUAGCCUGCUGUUUGGUCUGUAUCAAAGCCCUGUGUAAAAAAAAGGCCGUACUUUGACCUGUGUUUGUUAUUUAUAUCAGGUUGAGAACAACCCUCCCUCAGACAACAUGGACAAGGGGUCAUUUUACUGAUGUAGAAAAGAAAAUAGAAAUACCAAGGAUUUGUAUAGUUCUUCUAUACAAAACCUUUGAAAAACUUAGGAAUUUUGUACUCAAAAAGAGGAGAGUUACAUCAUAUUUUAAACAACUUUUUCUAAAAGAGGAGUCCACUUAUUUUGAAUAAUAUUAAA
rnacentral:lncRNA from 1 species